GGCUAAUCUGCAUAUGCACAUUAGCUCUAUUACCUAUUAGCGUACAAAAAGGGCCUGGAAGUAGGAAAAGAACUACAUUUCCCAUCUGCCCUGGCUGUCACAGGCUAAUAGCACCAGCUGCUUUCCAUUGCCCUAAGGAGUGAUUCUACUGCGGCAACGAGACCAAAUACAACGAGAGAUUCUUACUGAGGUGCUGUUUUCCACAUGCAGUGCUUGGCUGUGUUGGAGGCCACCAAGAAAGACUUCCUGGCUGUCAUGUGGAAGCUAAGUGGGCUGGGGUCAAAAGGGUUUCUGGCCAUGGUGCUUGUGCUGCAGUGAUCUUGUUCUCCAUCACACUCCAACACAGUGGUUUGACUUGUGCUACACAGAGGUGAGUCCAGUUAUGCUGCAAGAAGUGUAAGUAUGAUGGGGUUGACGAGUGGGAGGAGAGGUUCUUCCUGUGCAAGAUGGACCAGCAAACAGAUUUAAAGGCUGUUGUGAAUGAUGGGUUACAGAAAUGUCUUCCUGUGUUUAUUAUUAUUUGAAGUUAUAUAUUCUGAUUUGUAAGCAAGAUUAUGAAGUCUCCUUUUGCUAAUCAUUUUACAGCAUUAUUAAAAAGUCCAUGUACACAAUGUU
ensembl:lncRNA